AUGGCGACAGCAGCCACAAGUCGGCCCAGCGGCCCGGUGCUGUCCAUACCCAGCUACCGCUCCGCCUCGCCCACCCGCGUCAAGCUUCCCGCCGGUGGCAGCGGCGCCAACCGCUCCCCGGGCAAGUCCGUCAGCGUCUCGUCCCCGUCCUCCACCACCACAAGCCGGCGGUCCUGCAUGUGCUCCUCGACGAACCACCCGGGCUCGUUCCGGUGCAGCCUCCACAAGGAGCGCAACCAGGCGGCCCCCGCCGGGAGCAGCAAGCCCGCCUCCCCGCCGUCCGUCCGCAGCGCCUGCAAUCUGGGCUCGAAGCGCAUGGACAGCGCUCAGUGUGCCCGCAGGGCCCUCGCGCCUCCCCCCUCUGCGCAGCAGUCGCAGCAGCACCGGAGGCGCGCGGGCGGGUUCCGCCCCAGGCCCAGCAGACUCUCCGCCGUCUCCACGGCCGGCGAGCGUCCCAUCAACAAGUACCAGUAA
rnacentral:rRNA from 1 species